UCUGGCUAGAGGGCAGUAGCAGUAUUCAUCCCAGCAGUGACAUGAGUCAAUGUUCUUUAAGCUUCAAGCCAUGGAGAUUCACUGAUUGCCUCAGGUUGGAAAGGAUCCUUAAAGAUCAUCUUGUCCAACCUCCCCUGCAGUGAACAAGGACACCUCCAAGUAGAUCAGGCUGCCCAGGGACACAUCAAGUCUAAUUUUGAAUGUUUCCAGGGACAAGGUCUCAACCA